AGCAUAUCAUUAAGCAGAGGAAAAGAAACUAACAAGGAUUCCCUUAGUAGCGGCGAGCGAACAGGGAUUAGCCCAGAACCGAAUCCUGCAGCGUGAGCUGUUAGGAAAUGUGGUUUUUGGUUCAUUCCUUACGGCAUGUUGCGAUGUUCUAAGUUCACGUGAUUGUGGCAUCAAGCCCACAGAGGGUGUAAGGCCCGUAAGAACGUUGCGAUGUGUCCAGGGUAUGUUCCUAGAGUCGGGUUGUUUGCGAAUGCAGCCCAAAUCGGGUGGUAAACUCCAUCCAAGGCUAAAUAUAACACGAUUUCGAUAGUGAACAAGUACCAUGAGGGAAAGUUGAAAAGAACUUUGAAGAGAGAGUUCAAUAGUGCGUGAAACCGUUCAAAAGGAAACGAGCGAAGCCGAAUAGGAGCUGGGCUCUUUGUAUUUCUGUCAUAGCUGUGUGAUAUUGAUGGCGCAGGUUUUAUUCCGGCCUUAGUACCAUGCAUGCUCUGGCGUUGUGCUUUGACUCAGCUCAACACUGCGAUCGGUGAAUAGGUUGGCCUAUCAUUGGAAGGAAGGUGACUUGAGACUUGUCUUAAGUGUUAUAGCCUUUCGAUAUAGCGCUGACUGAGCACCGUGUUUUUGCGAUGCAAGCCCAUACUGGCAUACAUGUCAAGAUGUGGUAGUGUGUACCUUUGUCAACUCCCAGAGAUGGCUGAGAGUGCUUGCUGCUAUGUCUUGGUCUCUGUAUGUUGCGUCAAUAAUUGCAGUGAAACCGUAGGAGUUUGCUCGACCCGUCUUGAAACACGGACCAAGGAGUUUAACAUGCACGCGAGUCAUUGGGUGUUACGAAACCUAAAGGCGCAGUGAAAGUAAAGGCUUGCCUCGCAGGCUUAGGUACGAUGUUGGGCGCUUGUGCUUGCACAGCUACCAAUCGCAGUACCAGCUCGUCCCAUGCUUUAUUAAGUGGGGCGACGCAAGAGCGUACAUGUUGAGACCCGAAAGAUGGUGAACUAUGCUUGUGUAGGUUGAAGCCAGAGGAAACUCUGGUGGAGGACCGUAGCGAUUCUGACGUGCAAAUCGAUCGUCAAACAUGAGUAUAGGGGCGAAAGACUAAUCGAACCAUCUAGUAGCUGGUUCCUGCCGAAGUUUCCCUCAGGAUAGCUGGCAUUCAGGAAUCAAACAGUUUUAUCCGGUAAAGCGAAUGAUUAGCAGUAUUGGGGAUGAAAUAUCUUCAACUGAUUCUCAAACUUUAAAUGGGUGAGAAGCUUAACUCUCUUAAUUGGAGUUAUAGCAUUGAAUGUGAAUGCCUAGUGGGCCAUUUUUGGUAAGCAGAACUGGCGCUGUGGGAUGAACCAAACGUCUGGUUAAGGAGCCAAACGUAUCGCUCAUGAGACACCACAAAAGGUGUUGGUUGAUUUUGACAGCAGGACGGUGGCCAUGGAAGUCGGAAUCCGCUAAGGAGUGUGUAACAACUCACCUGCCGAAUCAACCAGCCCUGAAAAUGGAUGGCGCUGGAGCGAUAGUCCUAUACCAGACCGUUACCGUGAGUUGCAAAAAGGUAUACGGUAACGAGUAGGCAGGCGCCGUGGCGAGCAUUGAAGCUUUGGUCGUAAGACUGGGUGGAGCCGUCACGGGUGCAGAUCUUGGUGGUAGUAGCAAAUAUUCAAGUGAGAACCUUGAA
rnacentral:rRNA from 1 species